ACGAUCUUGUAUCCACUGACAGUCUCGUUAGAUUAACCCAAUAAAUUUCAUUCACUCCGCAUAUUCAAUCCUAUAGACACCCUUUUAAUUCUUCAUCAUAGACGUAACUCGAUUUCACAAAACAAUCAAGAGUAAUCACACCCACUUCAUUAAAAUCCCGAUUCACCAGUACAACACUAACUUCAGCAAUGAUUGCCUCAGUCUUCCCGAAACCCUAUGAAGAAAAAAAAACCCAAU
rnacentral:lncRNA from 1 species